CAGAAAUGUGAGAUGCUUUAUGAAUGGCGGGUACCUCCUGAUACAAGACGUGUGCAGAGAACAGAUCCUAUGGGGCAGAAGCAGCCUGACUGCUUCUUUAAUUCCAACGGGAGCUCCACUUGGAA